UCCAAUAAACUUGCAGGGAAAACGAUACAAGCUACAAGUGGUUAUUACAGAGGUCAGCACUCCUGAUGAUUGGUGUUAUUUGUCAUGCUAAGACUGCUAGAAAGAAACAUACCCAAAUGGGAGCGCAUACAUCUGCCUUAACUGCUGUGCAGGCAAUAUCAUGGAAACAAGCUACACAUACGAGAAAAAGAGAAGGAAAAAAUUGAGGGUCUAUUGCUGCAGCAGCUAAAAAGGGUACAUUUUUACCUCUAUUUAUGUUAAUAGAAGUAUAGCAGGAGUACCAACUCACUGUCUAUCCAUUGCCUACAGUGUAAGUCAUAAUUAUAACCAUCCCCUUAAUUAUCAUGUACCCAGUAUUGACAUGGUAUGUAUAUGUCAGUUCUUGCAUACAUUGCUUCGGCCGGUAAAGGGUGUCAAAAUUUCAUCACUCUGGUGCAGGAUACAUAAUAGGCCGACAUGCUCUGCUCUCAAAACUGUAUGUAUUCUGAAUAGCUGAAAUCAGUAGCAGGUAUAAAUGUACUAUGCCGCAUCUCCUCAAGAACCAUGAAUGAUUAUUCUCUUCUCCCUAUUGCCUAUUGUUUUCUCUCACUUAGAAGAGAAUCGGCACAUUGUCAGAAGGUGCUCUACUUGGCUAGGAAUGUCCAACGUCGAGAUGGCGGUGUUCCAAGAACUCCUGUGUGAGUUUUUUGGCCUGAAAAGUUUGAAGUCUGUAAUGGUUUUGCCUGAGUGUCUCGGCUUGCUCUUGUGUGAGCACUAACAAUCUGUAAAUCAAUAUUUGAGGUUUCUAACAGAGCUUGCCACUCUACGAUCUGUAACCAAUAUGGAAGUGAUUUUAGGUGGUGUUUUUUUUUA